GAUGAACGCUAGCGAUAGGCCUAACACAUGCAAGUCGAGGGGCAUCACAUGAAGUAGCAAUACGGAUGGUGGCGACCGGCGCACGGGUGAGUAACACGUAUGCAACCUGCCUUCAACAAGGGGAUAACCCGUUGAAAGACGGACUAAUACCCUAUAACACAGGGGUCCCGCAUGGGAAUAUUUGUUAAAGGACAACCGGUUGAAGAUGGGCAUGCGUUCCAUUAGCUAGUUGGCGGGGUAACGGCCCACCAAGGCAACGAUGGAUAGGGGAACUGAGAGGUUUAUCCCCCACACUGGUACUGAGACACGGACCAGACUCCUACGGGAGGCAGCAGUGAGGAAUAUUGGUCAAUGGACGCAAGUCUGAACCAGCCACGUCGCGUGAAGGAAGACGGCCCUACGGGUUGUAAACUUCUUUUAUACGGGAAUAAAGUGCCCCACGCGUGGGGUUUUGCAUGUACCGUAUGAAUAAGGAUCGGCUAACUCCGUGCCAGCAGCCGCGGU
rnacentral:rRNA from 1 species